CGCAACAUAUACCAAAAGCGCUACGAUCGGUGCCAUCGCGAUGUUAAGUUCGCCCCAGGUGCUUGGGCGCUCCUUUGGUCACCAUGUCAUCGUGUCGGCCCCUCCCAGGAGCUUCGCUC
rnacentral:lncRNA from 1 species